GUUUUUGCCUUUGCGCUGGCUAUUGGAUCAACAAAACCUGUUCCUGGUUGCAACAUUAUUGCCCUCUCCAGUAACGCAACAUAUGCUAAUAUCCAUUGGAAUCAAUUGAGUAUGACCUUAAUGUGAUGAAAGAUAAAUGUUCAAGGAGAAACCAGUGCUUAACAUACUGUGAUGGCCAGGGGCCGUUAUCAUAGAGACAGAUUUGAACAGAUUCAGUCUCCAAAGGAUGAACCAGAAGCUGAAGGGAAUGAAAGAAACGUAAGCGAUUUCAGGGAAGACCAGAGACUUUUAUUUCACCACCCUUU